GUUGCUCAGAAAUACGUCAGAAAAACCUACUGUAUGAAGAGGUAGUGACCAAAAAGUGAGAAACAGAUGACGGGACCAGCGUGGUUGAGGUCGCCUAAGGCCGGCGAGUCGACGAGAAGAAGCGCGUGAAGGCGCGUGUACCGGAGUCUUUCGGUCAGUGGAGAGGCCGAUCCUGUGCUUGAUAAUCCACUAGGUUAGGCUGUGACAGCCACGGACUCCCAGAAAGUGACUGGAAAAAGGGGGAAAAUUCAUCCCUAUGAGGACUUUGUUUCAGA
rnacentral:misc_RNA from 1 species